GUCGGUGACUCUGCUUGCCGGUCAAGGUAGGGGAGGUCACUGCAUGUCGCACGGACUGCAACCCCAUGGCUCACAACCAAUCUAGUAAGGCCUUCCACUAUGUGGGCUAAAAGAGGUGCCAAAACCAGUUUUCCCUCAUUUGGCACCGAUGCCUUCCAUAGCCCAGCCGGUGCCAUAAAAAUAUUCCAGGGAGCCGGAGCAAGUAGCUGCUCCGGUGCCCACUUCAAGCACUACAAUAAAAUAUACUAAAGUAUAACUGCCAUCUAUACAGGAGCAUUCCUACCCAACCACCACCGAGCAACAUCAUCCAAUCCAUACCAAACAUCAUUCAAUUUACAGCAAACCAGAGCACUCAAAUUUCCAGAUGACCGUUGCACUGCAGUAGAAAAAUCUACCCGUUUGGAGAAUCUGUCUAUAAAAUGUACAGAACAAGCUCAUAGAAGCACAAGAAGAUCUUGGAAAAACUCUCCCCCAAAACAUGGAGCACUCAUCUUCUCAAAGCUUCACAAGCAUGAUGAACUCCUCCUUCUCACCUUCAGAUGCACAGAGCCCAAACAACCUGCAAAAUCCACAGAGCCCAAUUAGUUUCCAUCCCCAUCAUCCACAUAUGAAUUAUCCACCCACACAUUAUAUUCCCAGUUUCCAGCAUCAACACCCACACCAUGCAAAUUUAUAUGCUCAAGGAGGUUACCAGCAAGUUCCAUCCAUACCUCCAGGCUACCAUGGUGUUGCUUACCAAGGUAACAUGGGGCAGUACCCUCCAGGAGCAUUUGGAGCAGGCUCAAGUAGCAGUCCAGCAUCUCCUGCUGGAUGCAUACCUUUUCUUGGAUCUGCUAGAGGCACUAGUUCAAGAGGAGAUGAGAAUAGUCCAGUUGGAUUUAGUUCUCCCAUGUCACCUGCAUAUCAAGUGGAUGAAGAUCCGGCUGUCAAUAAUCAAGAUGGCAGUGAUAGUAGUCCUGAUGAGAUUCAGAAAAAAGGAAAAGGCAAGAACUGGAGUAAGCGUGAGGAUGAACUUCUCAUAGCAGCUUGGGUGCACAAUUCAUGUGAUCCGAUUGAUGGAAACUCCAAAAGGGCAGAGACCUAUUGGAAGGAAGUCGCAGCAGAGUACAACAAAUAUGCAACAAAAGAGCAGAAGAAAACAGUUGGGCAAUGCAAGAACCACUGGACCAAGACCACAAAGAAGGUUACAAAGUUCAAUGAUAUCUACAAUGUUGAAAAAAGUACGUGGCCUAGUGGGAGCGAUGACAAGCAACUUAUGGAGAGGGUACGUGCCAAAUACAUGAGUGUUGCCAAGACAAAAAGACCCUUUCCAUAUGAGCACUGGUGGGAGUACGUGAGGAAAGAGGCUAAAUGGACAAGGUCUUAUUCAGUUGAAGAGAUGAACAAAAGAAACAAGUUGAAUGCAUCAGGAGCUUAUAGUUCUUCAACCCAGGCAAUAGAUGAGGAAGGUGAACUUCAACGACCCCCCGGACGCAACACUUCAAAAGACAUAAAAGAUAAACAUAAGUCAUCAAGCAAGUCUAAAUGCUCUGGAAGCUUGACAAGUGAGAGCAUGGACAAAUUUAAUGAGAUUCAACUACGAAAAUCAAUUGCUGCAGAGAAAAUGGCCGAUGCCACCCUUUUUCAAGCAGAAGCCACAAAAGUUCAAGCAGAAGCUGAGAAAGAAAGAGUUGAACACUACCUUGCUGCUAAAUUUUAUUAUUUCUUGCUGCUAAAUUUUAUUAUUUCUUGCUGCUAAAUGCAAUGUUGAACACUACCUUCAACUUUUAAGAACAGGAAAUU
rnacentral:lncRNA from 1 species